CCAGAUCACCGAAGCAGCAGGAUGUGAGCUGCCCCACUGAAAAAGCAGACACCCCGCGCUCCCGUGAAGAGCCUGGAGUGAUCUUGUGCAUGUGCAAUCCCAGUACUGGGACCCGGACACCAGUGGAUCCCUGGGGCUUGCUGACAGCCAGCCUCAUUUAAUCAGUGAGCUCCAGGUUCCUGUGAGAGACCUUGCCUCAGAAAAAUCAAGGUGCCUGGCAUUCCUGAGGGUAAUAUCUGAGGCUGACCUCUGUCCUCACGGCUUACUCAGGCACACACAGAAGGAAAACGCAAGUGAGGCUAUCAGGCUGUGUAACAGCAAGACGCCGUUUUAUUAAUGAAACAAAAGGAGGCUUUAUGAGACGGAUAUCUGCCAAGGUGUUAACAGCUGAUUUUUGUUGUUUUCUUUUGGCUUAUCUGUGUUUCCUGGUUUUUUUUUUUUCAAUGAAUAUCAAUUAUUUGCAUGGUUUUAAAGAGCAAUAAAAAUAAAUCAACUC